UGACAAUUAAACGAUCACGUAGUCCACGGUGACAGUCGAACAGAGUGUGGGGCACACGAGGGGGCUGAUGAUGUGCGCUUAUUCAAGCGAUGAAAUUCCACUUUAAUUCCUCAAUUCUCGCUAAGCGCGCUUUAACACAACGAGGGGGGCCGAAAAUAGUUUUCACUUUUCCUGCGGGCUGAAACGCUGUGUACACAAGGUUUAAACCAAUUAUCGGUGAAUUCGGCCACUUCGGGUUCCACGGUCUGCACGAAUGCGCGCGCGGUGGAACCAUACAGCAAAUCGAUCGAAAAGCAGAUAGCACGAAAAUUAAUUCUAUUCGAAAAGGAAAGGAGAAAAACACAGAGAGCGGAAAAAAAGUACAAUUAAACUACGUGUCGGAGGAAAAAAUGAAAAUAAAUUCGGUCUCUACGGAUCGCACACAUAUCGCGACGACAUGACUAAGCAUUUAAAAAUAGUAAACACAGUGUAACCAAAUCUACCCGAAAAAAAGCAACAUUUCGAUUCCGCGAGGCAGCGUUUGUACACUUCGUCUAUCGUCGUCUAUCGUGGCGAGUGUGACUGACUACACCGCAAGCAAAAAAGUGACCAACACAUGGACACGAUUUAUUCUAUCCGCCAGGUUCGUUGGUUGCUUUCUUCGACCGAUUAGCCCGACCGGGCCGUCACAAUCGGAUUUGGCCACUGCACUCUCACAAGGCCACAAAAGCAAGCGCAGUAGAUUCGACUGUGCUCUCGCAUAUUCACAAUUCCCACCAGCUUUCAAUUUAUUAGUCCAAUUACAACACCAAGCGGGAGCUCGUGAGCUGGUGGUAUUUCGUGCUGACAUCGCAUAUAAACUUCAACCGUUCGUCUCCGGUAUCGCACCAACGGAGUAUGUGUGCGAGAGUGAAUGUGAGAACGAGAGAGAGUGAAGCAGAGUUGAUUACUGAUAAGACGUCAACUUCGCAAUCGCGCGUUCGAAUACUAACGUGGCAAUCAACACAGUAGUAGGCUUCGCUAUAAAUGUCACUUUUUUCGGCUUACAAUCAACAGGUAGAGAGUAAAAUUCACUCGCCACAACUUGGCUAUCACUUACCUUCGUUCACGGCAAUGUCCAUCAACUGAAGAUCGUCGUCCAGGAUCGAGUUGAGGAAGCCAUCGGUGUGAUUCAUCUCUGAUGAUGCAUUCUGGAAAGAGUCGAACAGAGGGAAGUACGUUCAUUACUAUUUCGCUCUUGAUGGUUUGAGUUUAGUGUAUGAUUCGUAGAUUGGCGGUACGUAUGAGUUGUCACGUGGUACCGCUUUGUACCUUCUCUUCUUUUUCGGCUGAACCCAUGUAUUUUAUAUCGCUAAUAUUUACCAUGUUGUAGAAUAAGAACGAUCUACGUAAUAAUAUAAACACGGUCAUUUGAUGAAUCAUGGUGCGGACGUGGCAUAAUCGAGUUUGAAUUUGAACUUUCGCUUUGUUUACGAUCAUGAUUCAUUUAUAAAACUCACGCGUCAAUCUAAUAAGUAUAUCUCCAAAUCCAAGUUUAGAAAUUUUCGACUAUUUAUCGAAAAUAUUAUAUUGAAUUUCACUCGUUUCAUAUACAAAAAAUAAUUAUUUGAAAUUUUAUGGCAUUGACUUCAUUCUCACUUAUCGAUUUUGUGCCUAUCGUAGUUUCUGAAUGAGCACCGAGAAUUUCACCCAGUGCAUCAACAAAAGAAUUAAUUCUAUGUCCACAAAAGCUAGAGUCUCGAAUAAACUUGAACCAGCCAAGAUGAACGAUGUAGUCUUAUAUUGAUCUGAUCAAGUCCGUUACUUAGGACUGAUUUUUUAUAUGAAUCUUACUCUAAAAAGGUAUCAAAACCUUUAUAUAGACAGGUCAUAAUGAUGUCCAUGUACGUUUGAAUUACUGUUCGUAAUUCAUAAAUAUUUGUUUCUCACGACAGAAUUGUACUUGGACAGAAUUGUACUUGAAAUUUUGUUGGAAUUGUACUGCUUUGUGGAAAAAAACGUCAACGUACCGCUUGAGUGAGAAGUGCGAUAAGUGGCAUAAAACCACAAAACGGGGUCAUAGAACUGUACUGUCUAAGUAGAAAGAAGAAAAGAUUCUAACCUAGCUCAUCGACGUUUUUAUGUUCUUUGAUUUUUAAAAGUUGAAGAAUUUCCAUCUACUAGCCCUCGUCAUACUCCAUUUAAAAAUAAUCUUCCAGGUAAACCUAAACCCAUGUAAAAUAUACAAAAUCCUGUCUUCAAAGUUAUUCACUCUAGGCAAGAAAUGGUUUACGUCUCUCAUGGCCAGUUAUCUACAACUAUCCCUCCGUACCCCAGAAUGGGUUACGAUAGUGCAAGAGUUACCAAGGGUGAUGUAAGGAAAUGGUUCAACCAUGUUUCCUCGUGGUGGAUGGCCCGCGAGGGAAUAAAACAUAAUAUGUCCGACCCAAACCGCGUGUUUAAUGGUGGUGACAAGAUCCGCGAAGUAAUUGUGCAGCGUGGAUCUUCCGAAGCUUUUCCCUUUUCAUGCUGAUUAGGCCUAAGUGAGUGUGGUUGGAUGACUACUCCCAGUUCCAGAGAAUACAUCAAUCAUUUCUCUCAUGUGGUUACAGAAGAAGCAGAUUUAUGUUACAGUUGAGGAUAGUUUGAUCAUCCUGGAGAGAUUUUCAUGAUAAGAGAAUUCGGUCCUGUAUUGGAGAACGCAGUGAAAAAAGAGAUCCGACAAGGUAGUAGGUAUCACAAACGGCUUUCGUGUGUGCAGAAUAUACCCCUUCAACGUAGAUAACGUCGACUAUUCUACAGUUAAUGCAGUGAUUGACCGGCUAAAAACUAUCAACAUUUUCAACUAAUCAAACGGAAAUUCUCCUGAGCCCCAUAUUAGCCUCGACACGAUUCCAAAUGACCAAGAGAGGCAGGACAAUGCACACCACAUGAUUCAAUCGAAAGGAGACACAUUUUCGCCCAGAUCAGCCAUUUGUGAUGAAAUAAAAGGAUUAAAAAAAAUACAAAUUACCCUGGAGAACAUACAACAGAAAAAUUAUCAGAUCAGUCCCUCAUAAACCGAUACAGCCAUUGGGGGAGCUUACUAUUUCAACCAGUGAUGAUGUAUCCUUUAAUGGAAAUUGCCCUCAAGAAGAAAUUAUUGAAAUUUGAACGGUGUAGAACCAGCUCACUAUGGAGAAAACUACGAAUGACAAAAAAUUCAAUCAAUGACAGACAAUCUUCGUUAGUGUCAAUUCGAUAUGUAGCCAACUUGAGAAGUAAGACUAGAUGGACAAGCAUAUCAGAAUUUCUCAAGCUACCACCAAUACCACGGAGAAGCGGUAAAUAUCGGAAUCAUGUCAAGAAGUUCCAUCUAAUAUUAACUGCGGAUGAAAGAACUUCGAAAACUAGAAGAACCCUGUCUGAGCAAUGGCAACCCCUUUCCCGCAAAAGGGGGAGGAUCAUGUAUAGACAAAUUGAGUAUCGCUUACACUCUUGAUAUUACAUUGAACAGAUUUCAAAUAAGUUAAUCUAACGUCGAGAGAACCUAUUUUAAUAUUGUAGGGGAAUUGGAACAAAAUUGAUAUGUUGCUGACAUUUUAUGUCGAUCAGACACCAACCAAUCGAUUCCUGACACUUUUUUACUCGAUAUAAGAUAUAAUUUGACUACCACUUUUAGAUAUUAGCGCAUUACCAUUGAUGCUCAUACAUACUCGAUAUUAUUUUGCUUUGUGAAAUAUACUUAAACCAUGCCAAAACCGUUUUCGUAGAAUAACCGUUUUGAGCUCAGUUUUUGUACGAUUUAAGAACUUUUUUUUUAAAAGAUGGGUAAGAAGAUGCUUAUAUGUGGACAAACUCUUAGACUUUUGAUUUUUAGUCUUAAAACAAAAUGGCGUCGAAAAAACAACGAAAGUUUCCGAUUUCUCAAAAAUUCAUAAUGGCGCCAUUGUUGCCCCUUAAGUUGAAACUCGGGGAAAUUUGGUUUUGCAUCAAAAUACACGAAAAAAUCUAUGUAGACAGAAAAAAAGUCAUUUUUUGUUGCACUGUGUAAUUGAAGAAUUUGAUUGGAGCCGUGCAGAAGUGACAGAAAUAGCGAAAAAAUUUCAUGUCCCUCAAAGUACAGUUUAACGAUCCUGGAAAACCGUGAAAAAUGACAAGCAAAGUCUUAGAAUGGAAACCUUCAGAGAAAAAGAAUAAGAGCACUUGUCGAUGAUAGGCUAGACCGGCCUCUUUUGGAUUUCGUUAAACAUGCACACGAUAUUGGGAAUCGUCUGGUGGCAUUGCAGUCGUAGAGAUGCAGAUAUAGACUCGGCCUCGGUCCCAUUUAACCGGAAAAUGCUCGCGUGUGGUUUUAUAUAAGCGCCCCGUAAAUCGGAGUAGGUUUCGUUCGGUCGAUAAAUAUCGUGAUUAAUCUAAUGACUAUGGAAUGUAUACUUUUCAAAGAACCGUGUCCGCCGAAGUGCAUUGGCUCUCUCGAGGGAAAUCGUGAUUGCUAAUUGACAGAUAUUCAAACCCUUGAAUGAUUCUAGCGAUAGAUGGUCUUCGGGCACGCCGUUCACAUAAGUUC